rnacentral:rRNA from 1 species
CCCUUAGAUGUUCUGGGCUGCGCGCGUGCUACACUGAUAUUGCCAAUAUGUCAUUCUUAUCCGAAAUGGAUUGGGUAAUCAAGUAAUGAAAUUUCAUGCUUGGAAUCGGUAAUUGCAAUUUUAUCGUGAACGAGGAAUUCCUAGUAAGCACUAGUCAUCAGCUAAUGUUGAUUAUGUCCCUGCCCUUUGUACACACCGCCCGUCGCUACUACUGAUUGGGUGUUCAAGUGAGAUGCUUAGACCCUUGUUGCAUGGUUCAUUAUUGUGCUCCGAAAGGAAAAAGUUUCAAGCUUGAGUGUCUAGAGGAAGUAAAAGUCGUAACA